AACGAACGCUGGCGGCAAGCUUAACACAUGCAAGUCGAGCGCCCCGCAAGGGGAGCGGCAGACGGGUGAGUAACGCGUGGGAAUCUACCCAUCUCUACGGAAUAACGCAUGGAAACGUGUGCUAAUACCGUAUACGUCCUUCGGGAGAAAGAUUUAUCGGAGAUGGAUGAGCCCGCGUUGGAUUAGCUAGUUGGUGGGGUAAAGGCCUACCAAGGCGACGAUCCAUAGCUGGUCUGAGAGGAUGAUCAGCCACACUGGGACUGAGACACGGCCCAGACUCCUACGGGAGGCAGCAGUGGGGGAUAUUGGACAAUGGGCGCAAGCCUGAUCCAGUCAUGCCGCGUGAGUGAUGAAGGCCCUAGGGUUGUAAAGCUCUUUCACCGGUGAAGAUAAUGACGGUAACCGGAGAAGAAGCCCCGGCUAACUUCGUGCCAGCCGCCGCCGUAACAC
rnacentral:rRNA from 1 species